rnacentral:tRNA from 1 species
GGCUGAGUGGUAGAGCGCUUGGCUUCCGAACAGGGGUUCCGGGUUCGAAUCCUGG